rnacentral:rRNA from 1 species
GUCCACGCCCUAAACGGUGGGUACUAGGUGUAGGGCUCGUAAGGGUUCUGUGCCGAAGGGAAACCAUUAAGUACCCCGCCUGGGAAGUACGGCCGCAAGGUUGAAACUCAAAGGAAUUGACGGGGGCCCGCACAAGCGGUGGAGCAUGUGGUUUAAUUCGACGCAACGCGAAGAACCUUACCUGGGUUUGACAUGUAGGUGGUAGGAAAAUGAAAGUUGACCGACCUGUAGCAAUACAGGAGCCUAUGCAGGUGCUGCAUGGCUGUCGU